AGGGCGGUUUGGGCGGUCGCUCUGCUUCGCGCGACGAGGCAGGGAGGAAAGUCCGAGCAGGACAGGGUGCGGUGGUGGCUAACGGCCACCGGGAACCGGUUCUCCGCCGGGCGGCCUUCCGCCGGCGGGGUCCGGCGACCCCAGGGAAAGUGCCACAGAAAACACACAGCCGAUGGCCCUUUCGGGGGCACAGGCAAAGGUGAAAUGGUGCGGUAAGAGCGCACCGCGGCGGCGGUGACGUCGCCGGCAGGGUAAACCCCACCGCCUGCAAGACCAAGCAGCCGGUCCCCCGCCCUAUUUCGCCAGAAUCCUUCUGGCGAAAUUGGCGAAAUAGGGCGGGGGCACCUGGCCCGGGUGCGAGCGGCCACGGCCGCUCGGCCGGCGGGUAGGUCGCUUCCCGCAAAUCCCGACGCGCAGCGGCGCUGCCGGGUGGGAGAGCCAGUCGGCAACGGCUGGUCCAGAGAAAUGAUCGCCACCUGCCGCAAGGCGGGAACAGAACUCGGCUUACAGAGCCGCCCUUGGG
rnacentral:RNase_P_RNA from 1 species